rnacentral:tRNA from 1 species
GAGCCGCUAGCUCAGUCGGUAGAGCAACGGCCUUUUAAGCCGUGGGUCCUGGGUUCGAGUCCCAGGCGGCUCA